GUAUAUACAGCCAUCUGUGAAAACUGAUCACAAGGUCGGAUCUACUUAAGGCCCGCGCCUUCACGCUCGCUUGGCCCAACAAACCAUUACGGGCUAACUAACCAAUGCAAUUAGCUACGAAAAAAAAAAUCACGUCGGAGCGCCGUAAAGACCAGCAGCAGACGUGGGACACAGGUAGCGCAAGUGGCAGGCAGACGAGCAAACAAAUCAACACGCCCCAUCGUUUGUGGAAAGAUAGACAAGUCAUUGAACGGCAGAUAGAGGAAGAUUACGGUGACACAGACAAGCAGGUGACUUUAGACUAAAAGUGAUGUUCCAAUUAUUUCUAACUGAUCUAAUGCCACUGCGUAUUUGACGGCGGCCAUAUUUUCUACUUGAUCGAGCAAGAACAUAACGUCGUUGGCGUAACUUCAGCCGCAGUACGUCCACGAUUCAUCUCGUGCACUUUUACAUGGGACUGUAGAGCCUUGUUCUGGGGAGACACUCCCGUCCACAAGAAAUGAACGCAUCAUAUCUGAGGUCAGUCUACUGGAUGAGAACAUAAAAGAAGAUCAUCUACUCUUUCUCAUGUCAACAGCAAUGAAGUAUGUACCUAUACCCUUACAGAGUAUUGAGGGAUUCUAUUCACUGUGUUCAAGUGAGUACUUACACAAAUAGUAUGCUCAAUUAAUCCUACAACGCAAGACGUAUCCAAGGCGCCCAGACACGUACAUUAUCAACAGAGAACCUUCUUAAACAGGUUGAUGAAGAUGCCAAUAUUUACACAAUCACGUUCUCAACAAAGCGUUGCUUAGCACUCCAACGUUGCGUAGAAAUUAUGCAAAGAGAAAUCUAUAGACGUCUAUAACGAAGCGGAUUUUCCAAUUGUCUGGUUCUGGAAGCUGUGGUUAAGAUAAAAAGCCUCGCACACCAAAACCAGGACAAGGCCAGAAAGGCCACGCAGCAAUUACCACUUGUCAAAUUCAGUACCGCGAAAAUGUCAGGCCGAUGGUAAGCUUUUAAGGUGAACCAGAGUCAAUAUGAAAGGCCGUCGUCCAAUAGAAAGAUGGGUAAAAUAUUGAAAUCUCGUAGAACUGUGUCAGUCUGUCAGGUCUCUGCUUAUCUUUGGGGGGAUGGGGGAGGGGGGGAAGAGCCUCACAUCAACCACGACAUCAUUUGGUUGCUGUGUAACUAGGACUUAUCAACAGACUUCUUUAGUCAAUCCGGUUGUCAUCGCCGUGUAUCAAUUACUUAGUAAAGUAAAAACAUAUAUUCUUGUCGAGGGUAGAUAUUUCCUAUUCUUUGUACUUUGUUUACCCUAUGAAAAAAAAAGUGAUCACUAUCCUAUGUACGCUUGUAUUCUCAGGAUAUACAGUAGCAGUAGACCAAAAGGCAAGUGGCAGUGUAAACAAGAGAAAGUCUACCAAGAUGUUCCGGUCAGUUCAGCCCACGAGUGUAAUACGUCUUUCACGCAACACAGCUGAGCACACAAGGCCGGGAAAAGACGAUGUAUACACGAGACCCAUCAACGUUAUUGAUGACCUGGGUAAGUGUUCUUAUAAACACACUGGCCUAAAUCUGAACAGCAGCCUAUCUAUAAAUCAAGUGGUGUGGCCAACUUUUCUUUUACAGUGGAGGCUGGGAAUCGAAUAUCCUAGACGGAAAAAAAAAAGUUUAUCUUUUCUUUUUUCUAAUUUAA
rnacentral:sRNA from 1 species